rnacentral:snoRNA from 1 species
UGGAGGACUGAGAAGGUAAGACAGAAACUUGAUGCUGUUUCUUACUGGUUAUAGCCUCCAAAAUUAUAAUAGUGCAAUGGCAGUUUUUGUUCCCCUCCUGCCAUGAGGGAAAGCAGGACUGCAUUGC